rnacentral:rRNA from 1 species
UUGACCUCGGAUCAGGUAGGGAUACCCGCUGAACUUAAGCAUAUCAAUAAGCGGAGGAAAAGAAACCAACAGGGAUUGCCCUAGUAACGGCGAGUGAAGCGGCAACAGCUCAAAUUUGAAAUCUGGCGUCUUCGGCGUCCGAGUUGUAAUUUGCAGAGGGCGCUUUGGCAUUGGCAGCGGUCCAAGUUCCUUGGAACAGGACGUCACAGAGGGUGAGAAUCCCGUACGUGGUCGCUAGCCUUUACCGUGUAAAGCCCCUUCGACGAGUCGAGUUGUUUGGGAAUGCAGCUCUAAAUGGGAGGUAAAUUUCUUCUAAAGCUAAAUACUGGCCAGAGACCGAUAGCGCACAAGUAGAGUGAUCGAAAGAUGAAAAGCACUUUGGAAAGAGAGUUAAAAAGCACGUGAAAUUGUUGAAAGGGAAGCGCUUGCAGCCAGACUUGCCUGUAGUUGCUCAUCCGGGUUUUUACCCGGUGCACUCUUCUACGGGCAGGCCAGCAUCAGUUUGGGCGGUUGGAUAAAGGUCUCUGUCAUGUACCUCCUCUCGGGGAGAACUUAUAGGGGAGACGACAUGCAACCCAGCCCGGACUGAGG